UGGCCGAGUGGUUAAGGCGGCGGCCUGCUAAGCCGUUGGGCUAUGCCCGCGAGGGUUCGAAUCCCC
rnacentral:tRNA from 1 species